ACAAGAACUUUUCACAGACGUCAAACGGUUAAAGCAAAUUCUAGAGAUGUAGUAGAGACCAGGAAAAACAUGAAUCGUUUUCUUUUAAAUAAGGAGACCAGUGGAUAAAAUGUGUUUCUAGAUUACUUGCUUCAAAUUUCUCAAAAGGCAAAAUGAAUAAGAGGGAGAUAAGUGUGUGUCAUCAAACUUGGGCCUUAUUAUGCAAGAACCUCCUUAAGAAAUGGCGAAUGAAAAGAGAGUCCUUACUGGAAUGGUUGAGCUCACUGCUCCUGCUGCUUUUUCUGUACCUAUAUCCCAAUAGUCAUGAAGUUAAUGAUUUUUCUUCACUGCCUGCCACGGACCUGGGACGGGUAGAUUCAUUUAGUGGCCCUUGGUUUACUAUUGCAUACACACCUUUCACCAAUACAACCCAACAGAUAAUGAAUAAAGUUGCCUUAGCCUCCUUUA